rnacentral:lncRNA from 1 species
GCUUGAAAAGUCCUACUGGGUGCUGGAUAAGAGCACCAAAUUUGGAGCUAGAUUAUAAGCCCAGAUCCAUUGUUUACUAGAUGUGUGGCCCUGGAGAAAUCACUCCAACACUCUGUGCUGCCUUGUAGUAAUUAUUUUCCAAACGUCCAUGGUGCAACUUAGUCUUGAUGUGAUAAAAGCCAUUCACCACCAAUCCUACCAUCGGGACAAUAACUGGGGUGAAACAUCUCAAUUUCUAUACCCGAGCUCUUGUAAUUCUUCAUAAAGAAGGUUG